GAGCCUUUUACCACCUGCCAGGACAACAGCUCUAGUUCCCUUUCCCCCCACUAAAUCUGACUUGUCAAUCAAGAAAUAAGAGGUGCUAAAUAGGAACCUGUGGUCCUUGCUUCUUAAUGAAGUCUUCAUUCAGAGCAAUGUUGGCUGUGGUAGGCUGUGCAGGUCUCUGUGAAACAGUUUUGUAACCAAACCAGCUUAUUUUAUGUUGUAAUAUUGUGUGGAUCUCACUGCAAGAGCUGGAAGUCUUCAGUAAAGCUUGCUGGUAAAAACAUCCUCUUAAGACACAGGUACAAAAGCUGCAGUGCUGCUGGUCCUGGCAAGUGGCAUGUCCUCUGAGUGCCUCCGGUCCGCCCUCCUGACACAGGGGCUGGGAACACAACCCCAGCAAUACUGGGAUUUUUCAUUUUACACUACAAACCCCAAAGCGUUGGCAUCAGACAGAAGUGAGGGGAGUGCAUCAAGCUGACAGUGCAAGCUUUUUUUUUUAACCUAAGGGUAAACUGCCAGGAUUUGUUCUCAUUAGGAGAAGAAAUGCGCUGAAUUCAGCUCCAUUCAUUUCAAAGGCUGGCUGGGUGGCUAGAGCCAGACCAACUCCUGUCUGAUAUCCUAAAAGCAAAUCACGAGACAGCCCCUCAGUAUGACAGAAGCACCGAAGCAAUGUGCUAGCAGAAGUAUAACCUCUGUACACUGGAGAAAAUAUUUCUGCUCCUUCCCUCCAGAUGCACCACCCUACGCGUGCUCCUGCUGACAGAGGUUCAGCAAGGAUGACACCGGGAUGUCAGGCCAUCUGGUGCAGAGAUUAAGAUCCUUCUAGGUACACCUGACUGAACUGGGGAAGGAUGAGGGCAAAUCUUCAUUUAGACUACGGAUGAAGCAUUUCUUUCAGCAGCUGUUGAAAACAGCCAGCAAUUCCUGAAGCUCACUUGAUUUGUUCAUCUAUAAAUGGCUUAUAUGUGAGAAUCAUGAUGACAUUUCCUAAAUGAAGAGCACAAAAAAUUAAAUCUGGAGAAAAAAUCACCUCCAAAAACCAAAUGAACAUAGACCAUGCAAAGAAUUGAAUUGUUUACUGAUGCUUGUUAUAACUGUGAUUAAAAUCUACAGGGUGCUAGUGCCCAGACCCUGGGAUUUGCUGGUGUUAGUUCCUGUGCAAGGAAAGACAAGACACGUGCCCCAAAUUCCUGCCAGACUGCAUCCCCGCCCUGCCAUCAGCUCUGCAUGGGUGGACUCCUGUUUUCACAUGGCACCCUAUUAAAAUCAGCAAGAGCCUGCCUGCAUGGAGCAAAGUCUGGGGCUAGAGCCAACUGGCAUGAGGAGAUAUAAUCAUCUAUAAACUAUUUUUAUAAGUGUAUAUUUGAUUUUCUAAAAAUUACUCUGAUUAUUCCGAUAUGACUGUAAAUACAUUGGCUUGAAUGACUUGUGAUUUUACAUUUGUUAGGCAGUGAUCUCAAUAUUUUCUAUACGCUUUACUAGGAACACUGCUAUACUCAGUUUUUUCAUUAAAUUUGAUCGCUACUUGCACGGUAUAGCUCUGUGACUGUGGUAAUUUGGGUGCCUGUUUUACAGAUACAAUUUCUGUACUAAAUGCAAUGGGAAAGAGCUGGGAGAUGGGAACCUUCCAUAGGCUUAGAUCUGCUUUGUUCUACCUGGGUGGUUUAUUUGCUCGUAGUGAUGGACUACAGCCUACUGAAAAAGAAAAAAAAAAUAAAAAAUAAAAAUCUUAAAGUACAUCUCAUGUUUCAAAACUAUCUGAUAUAGUCUUCCAAAUUGUAGUUAGGUUUCUUUUGACUGCCUUUUUUCACUUUCAGAGGUGCGUAUAGGCAUUACAGCUUUGAACCCAAAGUGCAGCAAAGAUACAGAAAAUGGGUGCAAAUCCUUGAACCUUGCAGCAGUGUCCAGGUUUAUCUACCUUUGGGCUUUUGGAGUAUUUCUGUUAACAUAGGCAGAGAGACUUGUGCAUAAAUGCAUCUUGGCUGAACUUUGUGAAUCAUAGAAUCAUAGAAUAUCCUGAGUUGGAAGGGACCCUUAAGGAUCAUCAAGUCCAACUCUUGACACCGCACAGGUCUACCCAAAAGUUCAGACCAUGUGACUAAGUGCACAGUCCAAUCUCUUCUUAAAUUCAGUCAGGCUCGGUGCAGUGACCACUUCCCUGGGGAGCUUUCCCUGAGUGAAAUCAGAAUCAAGUCUGCGGUUUGUAUUUGGUCCCCUUCCUGCUUAACAGCUCUCUUCUGAGGCCUCUUAAAUACUUGAUGCUCUUUGCAAAAAGUCUGGGUUGCUCCAGGCUCCUUGAGGCUUUGCAGCCAGCUUUCUGAGAGGUGGUGGAAAUAGGAAUCUGCUUAUGCCUCUUGGACUGGGUGAGGGAAAUCGGAUAAGGCUUCGUGAACUUUAUUGUAGCUGGAGAUGCUGGAGAUGAAAAUUUGAAGCUCAACUGAACUGCAAAAUUAUUGCAACAACUGUUUGGGAAACUUGGAUGUGAUACUUUUUCUGUGUGUCUGUUCCCAGUGCCGCUGUGCAGUGGAUUUGUACUGUUACAUCCUCCGACUUCUUUCUUCUAUUGCUCUGAUCU